rnacentral:rRNA from 1 species
UACGGAGGGUGCGAACGUUAUUCGGAAUUACUGGGCGUAAAGCGUGCGCAGGCGGCCCGUUAAGACAGGUGUGAAAUCCCUGGGCUCAACCUAGGAAUUGCGCUUGUGACUGGCGGGCUCGAGUACGGUAGAGGGGGGUGGAAUUCCUGGUGUAGCAGUGAAAUGCGUAGAGAUCAGGAGGAACACCGAUGGCGAAGGCAGCCCCCUGGGCCUGUACUGACGCUCAUGCACGAAAGCGUGGGGAGCAAACAGG